rnacentral:rRNA from 1 species
AGUGAACGCUGGCGGCAUGCCUAAUACAUGCAAGUCGAGCGAACAGAUGAAGUGCUUGCACUUCUGACGUUAGCGGCGAACGGGUGAGUAACACGUAAGGAAUCUACCUAUAAGCGGGGGAUAACAUUCGGAAACGGGUGCUAAUACCGCAUAAUAUCUUCUUCCGCAUGGAAGAAGAUUGAAAGACGGCUCUGCUGUCACUUAUAGAUGACCUUGCGGUGCAUUAGUUAGUUGGUGGGGUAACGGCCUACCAAGACGAUGAUGCAUAGCCGACCUGGGAGGGUGCUCGGCCACAUUGGGACUGAGACACGGCCCAAACUCCUACGGGAGGCAGCAGUAGGGAAUCUUCCGCAAUGGGCGAAAGCCUGACGGAGCAAUGCCGCGUGAGUGAAGAAGGCCUUCGGGUCGUAAAACUCUGUUAUAAGAGAAGAACAAAUUGUAGAGUAACUGCUACAGUCUUGACGGUAUCUUAUCAGAAAGCCACGGCUAACUACGUGCCAGCCGCCGCAGUAA